GACGAACGCUGGCGGCGUGCCUAAUACAUGCAAGUCGAACGCAGUGGGGACGGGUUCGUAACACGUGGGUAACCUCCCAUCAGAGGGGAUAACACUUGGAAACAGGUGCUAAACCGCUAUUGAUGGAUGGACCGGCGGUGCAUUAGCUAGUUGGUGAGGUAACGACUCACCAAGGCCACGAUGCAUAGCGGACCUGAGAGGGUGAUCGACCACACUGGGACUGAGACACGGCCCAGACUCCUACGGGAGGCAGCAGUAGGGAAUCUUCGGCAAUGGACGAAAGUCUGACCGAGCAACGCCGCGGUAAUUC
rnacentral:rRNA from 1 species